ACAGGACUGAGGUCUCUGGGGAAGGCAGGGCUGUGUGCCAGAAGAUGAGGCUGCUGGGUCUUCUCCUGUGCUUGGUGACAGCUCCUAAAGGUGUCUUGUCCCAGGUGCAGCUGCAGGAAUCAGGACCAGGACUGGUGAAGCCCUCACAAACUCUGUCCCUCACCUGUGCUGUCUCUGGUGCCUCAAUCAGCAGUUAUGCUUGGAGCUGGAUCCGCCAGCCCCCAGGGAAAAGCUUGGAGUGGAUCGGAUAUAUAAAUUCUGGUGGAAGCACAAGCUACAACCCAUCCCUCAAGAGCCGCAUCUCCAUCUCCAGAGACACGUCUAAGAACCAGUUCUCCCUACAGCUGAGCUCUGUGACUGCAGAGGACACAGCCACAUAUUACUGUACAAGAGACACACCUCCUGCUGACGUUGGUAAUAGUUUUGUGAAGCACAAUGAAGAAUGGAAGAGGGGUCUGGUUAAGUCAGACUUUUGGACACAACACACAUUCCUUACUUACAACAACAUGGAUUGCACAUUUUCAGAGUUCAGUGUGAAGUUCAGCUUCUGGAAUCUGUUGGAGGAGGUACAGCCUGUGGGGUGGUCCCUAAGACUCUUCUGUCCAGGCUCUGGAGUCACCUUCAAUGAUUACUACACAAGCCGGAUCUGCCAGGCUCCAGGGAAG